UUAAGUCUGAUGUGAAAGCCCUCGGCUUAACCGAGGAAGCGCAUCGGAAACUGGGAAACUUGAGUGCAGAAGAGGACAGUGGAACUCCAUGUGUAGCGGUGAAAUGCGUAGAUAUAUGGAAGAACACCAGUGGCGAAGGCGGCUGUCUGGUCUGUAACUGACGCUGAGGCUCGAAAGCAUGGGUAGCGAACAGGAUUAGAUACCCUGGUAGUCCAUGCCGUAAACGAUGAAUGCUAGGUGUUGGAGGGUUUCCGCCCUUCAGUGCCGCAGCUAACGCAUUAAGCAUUCCGCCUGGGGAGUACGACCGCAAGGUUGAAACUCAAAGGAAUUGACGGGGGCCCGCACAAGCGGUGGAGCAUGUGGUUUAAUUCGAAGCAACGCGAAGAACCUUACCAGGUCUUGACAUCUUUUGAUCACCUGAGAGAUCAGGUUUCCCCUUCGGGGGCAAAAUGACAGGUGGUGCAUGGUUGUCGUCAGCUCGUGUCGUGAGAUGUUGGGUUAAGUCCCGCAACGAGCGCAACCCUUAUGACUAGUUGCCAGCAUUUAGUUGGGCACUCUAGUAAGACUGCCGGUGACAAACCGGAGGAAGGUGGGGAUGACGUCAAAUCAUCAUGCCCCUUAUGACCUGGGCUACACACGUGCUACAAUGGAUGGUACAACGAGUUGCGAGACCGCGAGGUCAAGCUAAUCUCUUAAAGCCAUUCUCAGUUCGGACUGUAGGCUGCAACUCGCCUACACGAAGUCGGAAUCGCUAGUAAUCGCGGAUCAGCACGCCGCGGUGAAUACGUUCCCGGGCCUUGUACACACCGCCCGUCACACCAUGAGAGUUUGUAACACCCGAAGCCGGUGGCGUAACCCU
rnacentral:rRNA from 2 species